UCGGUGGACAAAUAGUGAGGUUCAAAGAUGCUAUCAACUUUAUUAACCAAAAUCUACAAAAAUUGGAGUCAUACUUAUCUACAAUAGCAAUUGGCUAUAUGGAUUUGAUGUUGCUGUGUGUAAUGUAUCCGAUGCUGAGGAUGAAAUCGAGUUUGAAGUCGACUCCAGUUGUCUGCAAAUCAUCUAAAGCAGUCAUGAAAAGGCUUUAGAAAUAGCCAGAACCGACCCCCCUAAAAUUAGACAUUUGUUAUUUUUAGGCUUUGAGUCCUUUCUUUCUAUUAUAUAAUUGACAAUAAGUUAAAAUUAUCGUAUUAAAUUUAAAGAGCAGUAAUUAUUUGAGGAUAAUUUGUAUUAAGUUUUACAGCAAUGAAAUGUUUUUUUUUUUUUUCUUUU